rnacentral:sRNA from 1 species
GGCCGCUUUGGCCGAAUCUGCCCAGGCUUUGACUCAGCAGCAGCCUCCCGUUCGUGGGAAACGGGUUGAAGGCUAGGAGGACCGGGCAGCAGGCCUGGCUGCCUUUCCUCCGCCCCACCCGGAGUGGUGAACAUCCCAGUCCCUGCCGCCUCCUGGUGGAGUGUCAGGCCACCUACAAAUUUUGUGGGACCCCUGGCCGUGUCUUCAGAUACAAAUUGGGUGGUUGGCCACACGUGUGCCCAGGGCAGAUUCGGAGGCACCUUUUAAUCCGUCCUCUCUCUCCUGCAGGGGCCCUGGCUGGGAGCGAAGGCACCGCUUACUCUCCCAAGAUGGAAGACUGGGCCGGCGUGAACCGCACGGCCUUCCCCGCCACCCCCGCAGUGAAUGGGCUAGAGAAACCUGCCUUAGAGGCAGACAUUAAAUACACUCAGUCGGCCUCCACCCUCUCUGCCGUGGGCGGCUUUCUCCCCGCCUGCGCCUACCCGGC